rnacentral:rRNA from 1 species
UACGUAGGGGGCAAGCGUUGUCCGGAUUUAUUGGUGCGUAAAGAGCGUGUAGGCGGCCAGGUAGGUCUGCUGAUGAAAACGUCGACGGCUUAACCUCGAGCUGUCGGCGGAAACCAUCUGGCUAGAGUCCGGAAGAGGAGAAUGGAAUUCCCGGUGUAAGCGGUGAAAUGCGCAGAUAUCGGGAAGAACACCCGUGGCGAAGGCGGG